rnacentral:rRNA from 1 species
AACACAUGCAAAGUCGAACGGUACCUUCGGGUAUAGUGGCGGACGGGUGAGUAACGCGUGAGAAUCUGUCUUCAGGUCGGGGACAACAGUUAGAAAUGACUGCUAAUACCGGAUGUGCCGAAAGGUGAAAGAUUUAUUGCCUGAAAUUGAGCUCGCGUCAGAUUAGCUAGUAGGUGGUGUAAGAGACUACCUAGGCAUCGAUCUGUAGCUGGUCUGAGAGGACGAUCAGCCACACUGGAACUGAGACACGGUCCAGACUCCUAUGGGAGGCAGCAGUGGGGAAUUUUCCGCAAUGGGCGAAAGCCUGACGGAGCAAUACCGCGUGAGGGACGAAGGCUUUUGGGUCGUAAACCUCUUUUCUCAAGGAAGAUAAUGACGGUACUUGAGGAAUAAGCAUCGGCUAACUCUGUGCCAGCAGCCGCGGUAAUACAGAGGAUGCAAGCGUUAUCCGGAAUGAUUGGGCGUAAAGCGUCCGCAGGUGGUUUUGUAAGUCUGCUGUUAAAGCGUGUGGCUCAACCACAUACAGGCAGUGGAAACUAUAAGACUAGAGUAUGUUAGGGGUAGAGGGAAUUCCCAGUGUAGCGGUGAAAUGCGUAGAGAUUGGGAAGAACACGCGGUGGCGAAAGCGCUCUGUCUAGGACAAUACUGACACUGAGGGACGAAAGCUAGGGGAGCGAAUGGGAUUAGAUACCCCAGUAGUCCUAGCCGUAAACGAUGGAUACUAGGCGUUGCCCGUAUCGACCCGGGCAUUGUCGUACGCUAACGCGUUAAGUAUCCCGCCUGGGGAGUACGCACGCAAGUGUGAAACUCAAAGGAAUUGACGGGGGCCCGCACAAGCGGUGGAGUAUGUGGUUUAAUUCGAUGCAACGCGAAGAACCUUACCAGGACUUGACAUGUCGCGAACCCUGCUGAAAGGUGGGGGUGCCUUCGGGAGCGCGAACACAGGUGGUGCAUGGCUGUCGUCAGCUCGUGUCGUGAGAUGUUGGGUUAAGUCCCGCAACGAGCGCAACCCUCGUUUUUAGUUGCCAUCAUUAAGUUGGGCACUCUAGAGAGACUGCCGGUGACAAACCGGAGGAAGGUGGGGAGGACGUCAAGUCAGCAUGCCCCUUACGUCCUGGGCUACACACGUACUACAAUGCUACGAACAAAGGGCAGCUAGUUAGCAAUAACAUGCAAAUCUCAGAAAUCGUAGCUCAGUUCAGAUUGAAGGCUGCAACUCGCCUUCAUGAAGUCGGAAUCGCUAGUAAUUGCAGGCCAGCAUACUGCAGUGAAUUCGUUCCCGGGCCUUGUACACACCGCCCGUCACACCAUGGAAGCUGGUCACGCCCGAAGUAGUUAUCCUAACAGUUCGCUGGGGGAGACUCCGAAGGUAGGGCUGGUGACUGGGGUGAAGUCGUAACAAGGUAGCCGUACCGGAAGGUGUGGCUGGAUCACCUCCUUU